rnacentral:rRNA from 1 species
AUGGUUAAGUUAGAAAGGGCGCACGGUGAAUGCCUUGGCACUAGGAGCCGAUGAAGGACGGGACUAACACCGAUAUGCUUCGGGGA